UACGUAGGGGGCAAGCGUUGUCCGGAAUUAUUGGGCGUAAAGAGCGUGUAGGCGGUCCGGUAAGUCGGCUGUGAAAGUCCAGGGCUCAACCCUGGGAUGCCGGUCGAUGCUGCCGGACUAGAGUUCGGAAGAGGCGAGUGGAAUUCCCGGUGUAGCGGUGAAAUGCGCAGAUAUCGGGAGGAACACCUAUGGCGAAGGCAGCUCGCUGGGACGUUACUGACACUGAGGCGCGAAAGCGUGGGGAGCGAACAGG
rnacentral:rRNA from 1 species